GGGUUCUGAUGCGGGAAGAGUAGCUUCUAGUUGGUGGUGCCCACCUCACAUCAGCCAGAGACAAAGCAACCCCUUGUUUAUCCCUGCUUGACUUUUGGCCUGUGUCUAUGCCUGGUCCAUGCCUUGAUAGGAAGG
ensembl:snoRNA